rnacentral:tRNA from 1 species
UGGCUCAGUGGUUAAGAGCACUGGCUGCUAUUCCAGAGGUCCUGAGUUCAAAUCCCAG